rnacentral:rRNA from 1 species
AUUGAACGCUGGCGGCAGGCCUAACACAUGCAAGUCGAACGAGUGGCGGACGGGUGAGUAAUGGCUGGGAAACUGCCUGAUGGAGGGGGAUAACUACUGGAAACGUUAGCUAAUACCGCAUACCAUCAGAUGUGCCCAUAUGGGAUUAGCUGGUUGGGGGGGUAACGGCGCACCAAGGCGACGAUGCCUAGCUGGUCUGAGAGGAUGACCGGCAACACUGGAACGGAGACACGGUCCAGACUCCUACGGGAGGCAGCAGUGGGGAAUAUUGCACAAUGGGCGAAAGUCUGAUGCAGCCAUGCCGCGUGUAUGAAGAAGGCCUUCGGGUUGUAAAGUCCUUUCAGCGGGGAGGCGUUACCCGCAGAAGAAGCACCGGCUAACUCCGUGCCAGCCGCCGCGGUAAUAC